GACGAACGCUGGCGGCGUGCUUAACACAUGCAAGUCGAGCGGUAAGGCCCUUUCGGGGGUACACGAGCGGCGAACGGGUGAGUAACACGUGGGUGACCUGCCCUCAGCUCUGGGAUAAGCCUGGGAAACCGGGUCUAAUACCGGAUAUGACUCCAUGACGCAUGUUGUGGGGUGGAAAGCCCUGUGCGGCUGAGGAUGGGCCCGCGGCCUAUCAGCUUGUUGGUGGGGUGAUGGCCUACCAAGGCGACGACGGGCAGCCGGCCUGAGAGGGCGACCGGCCACACUGGGACUGAGACACGGCCCCAGACUCCUACGGGAGGCAGCAGUGGGGAAUCUUGCGCAAUGGGCGAAAGCCUGACGCAGCGACGCCGCGUGAGGGAUGACGGCCU
rnacentral:rRNA from 1 species